UGCCAGCCGCCGCGGUAAUACGGAGGGUGCAAGCGUUAAUCGGAAUUACUGGGCGUAAAGCGCGCGUAGGCGGUACGGUAAGUCAGAUGUGAAAGCCCUGGGCUCAACCUGGGAACUGCAUCUGAUACUGCUUGACUAGAGUAUGGUAGAGGGGUGUGGAAUUUCCUGUGUAGCGGUGAAAUGCGUAGAUAUAGGAAGGAACAUCAGUGGCGGAGGCGACUUGCUGGACUGAUACUGACGCUGAGGAGCGAAAGCGUGGGGAGCGAACGGGAUUAGAUA
rnacentral:rRNA from 1 species